AGCAGCCGCGGUAAUUCCAGCUCCAAUAGCGUAUAUUAAAGUUGUUGCAGUUAAAAAGCUCGUAGUUGAAUUUCGGGGUUAGUAGGUUGGUCAUGCCUCUGGUAUGUACUGGUCUCACUGAUUCCUCCUUCCUGAUGAACCUUAAUGCCAUUUAUUUGGUGUUUUGGGGAAUUUGGACUGUUACUUUGAAAAAAUUAGAGUGUUUAAAGCAAGCUAACGCUUGAAUACAUUAGCAUGGAAUAAUGAAAUAGGACGUUCGAUCCUAUUUUGUUGGUUUCUAGGAUUGACGUAAUGAUUAAUAGGGAUAGUUGGGGGCAUUAGUAUUCAAUUGUCAGAGGUGAAAUUCUUGGAUUUAUUGAAGACUAACUACUGCGAAAGCAUUUGCCAAGGAUGUUUUCAUUAAUCAGGAACGAAAGUUAGGGGAUCGAAGACGAUCAGAUACCGUCGUAGUCUUAACCAUAAACCAUGCCGACUAGGGAUCGGAUGAUGUUAAUUUUUUAAUGACUCAUUCGGCGCCUUA
rnacentral:rRNA from 1 species